rnacentral:rRNA from 1 species
AUCUAUAGCCUUACCCCCUGAACGCUUCCGAUCUCAACUGAUCUUGGAAGCUAAGCAGGGUUGGGCCCAGUUAGUAUCUGGAUGGGAGAAUUACUCUGAUCUCACUUCAUAUCUUUAAAUU